AACUGGAGGACCGAACCCACUAAUGUUGAAAAAUUAGGGGAUGACCUGUGGUUAGGAGUGAAAUGCUAAUCUAACGUCGUGAUAGCUGGUUCUCUGCGAAAUGCAUUGCAGUGCAGCGUCAAUGAAUAAACUUAUGGUAGGUACAGCACUGAUUGACAUGUCUUAACCGACCGACUAGGGGGAUGUGAAAGUCCUAUCUAGGUCAGUUAACCUCGGAAUGAUCAUAAGCAGUAAUUGGCAGUGAGUCGUAGGGUGAUAAGGUCUUAUGACGAGAGGGAAACAGCCCAAACAAUGUGUUAAAGUCCCAAAGAUAUUAGCAAGUGAAAUUAAGGAAGUGUAUUGCCUGAUACAGCCAUGAUGUGGGAUUGGAAGCGUCCAUCAUUUAAAGAAAGCGUAACAGCUCAGUGGUCUAGGCCGUAUGCGCCGAAGAUAUACCGGGUCUUAACUAAUACACUAAUACCAUUGUAUAACAUCAAUCAACCUGAUUGAUAUUAAUAAGUAGCAGAGCGUCCAGUACUGAUGAAGAGCAGUAUUUUAUUGUUUGGAGGUAACUGGAGUGAGGAUGCUGGCAUGAGUAACAAGAAUGAAUGUUAAAUCAUUCACACCGAAAGAGAAAGGUUUCUGAGGGCAAGUUAGACUUCCUCAGGUUAU
rnacentral:rRNA from 1 species